ACUACGGGAGGCUGCAGUGAGGAAUAUUGGUCAAUGGUCGGGAGACUGAACCAGCCAAGCCGCGUGAGGGAUGAAGGUACAGAGUAUCGUAAACCUCUUUUGUCAGGGAACAAAGGCGGGGACGUGUCCCCGGAUGAGUGUACCUGAAGAAAAAGCAUCGGCUAACUCCGUGCAAGCAGCCGCGGUAAUACGGAGGAUGCGAGCGUUAUCCGGAUUUAUUGGGUUUAAAGGGUGCGCAGGCGGUCUGUUAAGUCAGCGGUCAAAGCCCGGGGCUCAACCCCGGCCCGCCGUUGAAACUGGCAGUCUCGAGUUGGAGAGAAGUAUGCGGAAUGCGCGGUGUAGCGGUGAAAUGCAUAGAUAUCGCGCAGAACUCCGAUUGCGAAGGCAGCAUGCCGGCUCCACACUGACGCUGAGGCACGAAAGCGUGGGUAUCGAACAGGAUUAGAUACCCUUGUAGUC
rnacentral:rRNA from 1 species